GAGAGGGGAACAGCCCAGAUCACCAGAUAAGGUCCCUAAAUUAUGAUUAAGUGUGAAAGGAUGUGGAAAUUCCUUAACAGCCGGGAGGUUGGCUUAGAAGCAGCCAUCCUUUAAAGAUAGCGUAACAGCUCACCGGUCUAACAGAGUUUCUGCGCCUAAGAUGUAACGGGGCUCAAAUCAUAUACCGAAUCUGUGGGUGUAUAAAAUUUUCGAAUUUUAUACGCGGUAGCGGAACGUUCUGUAAGCCUGUAAAGGAAUACCCGUGAGGGAUUCUGGAGGUAUCAGAAGUGCGAAUGCUGACAUAAGUAACGAUAAACGAAGUGAAAAACUUCGUCGCCGAAAAUCCAAGGGUUUCUGCGCAAGGUUAAUCCGCGCAGAGUUAGUCGGCUCCUAAGGCGAGGGCGAAAGCCGUAGUCGAUGGGAACAAGGUUAAUAUUCCUUGACCUGAUGGUAGUGACGGAUUUUGUAAGUUGUUAGUUCUUAAUGGAUUGAACUAGCUGUGAAAAAGUCCCAGGAAAUAACUCCAUCAUUAAGACCGUACCCUAAACCGACACAGGUGGGUUAAUAGAGUAUAUUUAGGCGCUUGAGAGAAUGAUGUUGAAGGAACUCGGCAAUUUGCCUCUGUAACUUCGGGAUAAAGAGGGCCUAUUUUAGGGCAACCUUUAAUAGGUGGCACAAGCCAGGGAGAAGCGACUGUUUAUCAAAAACACAGGGCUCUGCUAACACGUAAGUGGAUGUAUAGGGUCUGACGCCUGCCCGGUGCCGGAAGGUUAAUGCGAUGGGUGCAAGCUCAUUUCUGAAGCCCCGGUAAACGGCGGCCGUAACUAUAACGGUCCUAAGGUAGCGAAAUUCCUUGUCGGGUAAAUUCCGACCUGCAUGAAUGGCGUAACGAUUUCUCCGCUGUCUCCAACAUCAACUCAGUGAAAUUGAAUUCUCCGUGAAGAUGCGGAGUUCGCGUAGUUAGACGGAAAGACCCCGUGCACCUUUACUGCAACUUUACAUUGGUGUUAGGAAUAACUUGUUUAGCAUAGGAGGGAGACUUUGAAGCAAUGGCGUCAGCUGUUGUGGAGUCAUCAGUGAAAUACCUCUCUAGUUGUUCUUGAUAUCUAACUGUUUGCCGUUAUCCGGCAACAAGACAUUGUAUGGUGGGUAGUUUGACUGGGGCGGUCGCCUCCCAAAAAGUAACGGAGGCGUGCGAAGGUAAGCUCAGAACGGUCAGAAAUCGUUCGUAGAGUGCAAUGGCAUAAGCUUGCCUGACUGUGAGACUGACAAGUCAAGCAGAGUCGAAAGACGGUCAUAGUGAUCCGGUGGUUCUGAGUGGAAGGGCCAUCGCUCAACGGAUAAAAGGUACGCC
rnacentral:rRNA from 1 species